rnacentral:rRNA from 1 species
AGCGCAGGCGGGAAGACAAGUUGGAAGUGAAAUCUAUGGGCUCAACCCAUAAACUGCUUUCAAAACUGUUUUUCUUGAGUAGUGCAGAGGUAGGUGGAAUUCCCGGUGUAGCGGUGGAAUGCGUAGAUAUCGGGAGGAACACCAGUGGCGAAGGCGGCCUACUGGGCACCAACUGACGCUGAGGCUUGAAAGUGUGGGUAGCAAACA